rfam:Fungal sp. No.14919 DNA, contig: Contig0017.
GCAUUGGUGGUGUAAUGGCAACAUUCAGACUUCCCAUGUCUGAGCACCGGGUUCGAUUCCCGGCCAAUGCA